GACGAACGCUGGCGGCGUGCUUAACACAUGCAAGUCGAGCGGUAAGGCCCUUUCGGGGGUACACGAGCGGCGAACGGGUGAGUAACACGUGGGUGACCUGCCUUUAGCUCUGGGAUAAGCCUGGGAAACCGGGUCUAAUACCGGAUAUGACUCCGCGGCGCAUGUUGUGGGGUGGAAAGCCUUGUGCGGCUGGAGAUGGGCCCGCGGCCUAUCAGCUUGUUGGUGGGGUGAUGGCCUACCAAGGCGACGACGGGUAGCCGGCCUGAGAGGGCGACCGGCCACACUGGGACUGAGACACGGCCCAGACUCCUACGGGAGGCAGCAGUGGGGAAUCUUGCGCAAUGGGCGAAAGGCCUGACGCAGCGACGCCGCGUGAGGGAUGACGGCC
rnacentral:rRNA from 1 species